GACGAACGCUGGCGGCGUGCCUAAUACAUGCAAGUAGAACGCUGAAGGAGGAGCUUGCUUCUCUGGAUGAGUUGCGAACGGGUGAGUAACGCGUAGGUAACCUGCCUGGUAGCGGGGGAUAACUAUUGGAAACGAUAGCUAAUACCGCAUAAUAGUAGAUGUUGCAUGACAUUUGCUUAAAAGGUGCAAUUGCAUCACUACCAGAUGGACCUGCGUUGUAUUAGCUAGUUGGUGAGGUAACGGCUCACCAAGGCAACGAUACAUAGCCGACCUGAGAGGGGGAUCGGCCACACUGGGACUGAGACACGGCCCAGACUUCUACGGGAGGCAGCAGUAGGGAAUCUUCGGCAAUGGACGGAAGUCUGACCGAGCAACGCCGCGUGAGGGAAGAAGGGUUUCGGAUCGUAAAGCUCUGUUGUAAGAGAAGAACGAGUGUGAGAGUGGAAAGUUCACACUGUGACGGUAUCUUACCAGAAAGGGACGGCUAACUACGUG
rnacentral:rRNA from 1 species